rnacentral:rRNA from 1 species
CGGGGUGAGUAACGCGUGGAUAACCUGCCUCACACUGGGGGAUAACAGUUAGAAAUGGCUGCUAAUACCGCAUAAGCGCACAGUACCGCAUGGUACGGUGUGAAAAACCCAGGUGGUGUGAGAUGGAUCCGCGUCUGAUUAGCCAGUUGGCGGGGUAACGGCCCACCAGAGCGACGAUCAGUAGCCGACCUGAGAGGGUGACCGGCCACAUUGGGACUGAGACACGGCCCAA